rnacentral:misc_RNA from 1 species
AGAAGCACACAGUUCUCACUUCCUUUUGAUGCAGCUAUAUGCAGAGCCGACCUCCCAUUGUUGUCUGAUUCAUUUGGAUCCAGGCCUCUUUUCAACAACUUAUGUAACAAGGAAUCAUCACCCCUAAGUGCAGCAAAACAUAGACUGACAGGUAGGUCCAUUCUACCAUGAGUUAGCAUGUUCUCUGUAUCAUGCAAAACUCCCUCCAUAAUUGGGUCCCUUUGUUCUUUCAAAUGCUGAAGGAGAUUGUUCAUGAUUAUGGUCGCAUCUCCAACAUUGGCCUGAACAAUGUUCAAGAAUGUAGUACGGUUCAGUCGUAGUAGCUGGCUCAAUCUUUUGGUGCGCACUGUAAAAAGUUGUGGCCUAUAACAAAGCACCCCAAUCUCACCACAAAGGUCACCACUUUUUGCCUGCCCAACAACCUGGUCAACUCCAUUUUUGUAAACAAGUAGAUCCGCAGCACCAGUGACAAGUAUAUAGAAGUCUGUCGGUGCUUCAUUCUGCAAAAUGACAUCUUCUUUGGGAGGGAAAUACUCAGCUUUCAUCUCUGAAACCAG